UUAUUUGGGUCGGGUUUACCUCUUGUCUAGUUUUUUGUGCUCAAUAUUCAAGAGGAGGUAAACUUUUACCAAAUAAAUCCUAUUUCAAAAUAGGAGCAAGAACCCCCUUAUAUUUAAAACCCACUCUUAAAAUAUUCUUACGUAUUUUGAAUGAUAAAAAUUAAGA
rnacentral:misc_RNA from 1 species